rnacentral:lncRNA from 1 species
AAAGAAAGUAACAGUGAAGCCCUCAUCACUCACUGCAGGGGCAGAAGCAAGAGGAUUCCACCCUCCCCGCAACAGAGCUCCAGUCAAGAGUCAAGUAAUCAGUAUAGAUGUGGGGGUGAAGGUCAUCUCUCUGUUGAGGCUUCUGUAGUUUUAUGGACCCGGGAACUAGCGGGAGGGAGAGAGGACAGGGCCAGGAGUAGGAAAGAACUGAGUCAGAGAGGAUAACAAUGUCUUCGUGGCUCCCCCUUCCCUACUCCCUGAGAAUAAGGAGGCCUUAGUUGAGGUGCCUGAAGAAGGCCUUGGGCACACGUGCAAGGCUGGGAACACAGGUGUGCAUAAGAGCAUGGCCAGCAGGGGCCUGAGACCUUGACCGCAGCUCCCUCCAGGGACUGCAGUGCACUGGCUAUGCCAGUUCUGGUCUGGAGAGGGAGCCUCCCUGUGAGGCCUCCUUGGUACAGCCUUAAAGUUGCCCAGGGUCAGUCCUGAAAAACCAGCCCUGGGAUUCUAACUAGGAGCCGGACUCCUCAUUUCCUGUCUACAGGCCUCAGGCGACAGUAUACCAUGGUGGUGUAAUAUCACUCACCUGAAAUAUCCCCCCCUCGACUUUCUUCUUGCCCCUUCCAGACACUGUCACACUUCUUCUGAGCCCAAAAGCCGUCCUUCUCAAAGGAGUUGGCUACACCUGCUGUCCCAGCUUCUCCACACCCUCCUGUUCACUCCUCAAUACCAUGAAGUCUAGACUUUAUUGUCAUCACUCUGCGGCAACAGGUCUUCCCAAGAUCUCUAGAUUAGGCUGGGUUCCCUGGAAACACACUCUGGAAGGAAAAUUUGCAUGUGGGAAAUUCAUCUGGAAAUGCUCUUGGGGACAACACUUGUAAGGAGUGAGGAAAGUAGGAUUGGGCAGAGGGAGAAGUUGGAGAUGGAUGAUGAUUCAGAGUUGCCUGAAGUUAACGCAAGGGGGCCCAGCCUUGGCACUCCCGCAUGGAGCAGUCAUCGGGGAACCCCCAGCUUCCAUUUCCCUAGAAAUGAAAGAAGUCUCCUGCCUGGCAGAAGGGGCGUGACUUAUGCCUGAUUGGCAGCUCCCUGGAUGAGGAGCAGGGAAUCGCUGAAAGUCCACCUUGAGCUCCAGCCUCUUGUUUUUAGAACAGUGCCUCACCCUGUUGCUGUUGGAUUGAGAACCUCGAUUCCCUGUUCGUUGUUGGCUGGAGGAGGCAUCCUCAGGUCCUAGCCAUGUGACUUCUCCAAUAUGGCAGCUUGCUUCAUGCAAGUGUGCUGUCCAAGAAGGCAACAGAGAGAGUCUGCUGGCAAGAUGAGAAUUACAAUCCUAUGGAAUCUAAGACAGCAUCCUGUCACCUGUGUCGCUUUCCAUGGGUAGAAGCAGGUCAUUGGCACUGUCCACACUCAAGAGGAAGGGAUUACUCAAGGGUGUGGCUACCAGGAGGUGGGGAUCAUGGGUGGCUAUCUUAGAUGAUUGAGUCUGGAGCCAGACCACUUGGGUUCAAGUCCUGGCUCUGUCACUUCUUGCCUGUGUGAUCUUAGGUAAGUGAUUGAACCUCUCUGUGCCAUAGUUUCUUUAUCUGAAAAAUGAGGCAGAUAAUAGUAUCUGCUUAACUGGGUUGCUGUGGGAAUUAAAUGAAAAUGUAAAAGUGCUUAGAACAAGACCUGCACAUAGGAAGCAGUAAGUAAGGGUUGGCUAUCGCUCCCACCCCAUCAGCUCCAUAGGGCAGGUGUGCAAUGCGACCCUCAGGGGCAGCCCAGUAGCAGGCAGGCCCCAGGCAGAGGCCAAGAGGAGGGGAACUGCAGCUGGCUUGUGUUUCCUGUUUAUAUUGAAUUGUUUAACCCAAUUUAAAGUCUGUCCUUGCCAUGACUCCUCCUGCUCAGAGAUAUUACUCCCACAGCUUUAACCUUCCGGUUAUCUUUUUUAUCACAAUCCAACAGCAAUAAAUUUGACCUCGUAAAGUGCCAGCCCAAUAGUCAGUGGCUGUUUAAUUAAGAGUUCUCAUGGGCAUGGAAACAAAGACAUUGUUUGGUGUCUGCUUGAUUCAAACAGGAGUGGUGAGGUGGUCAGGAGACAGAACCAUGGACCUGACUCAGGGAGAAAAAUCAUGUUGAGUCUCUGAGUCUCUAGUUCAUAAAAUAGACUUUGUUUUUUACUUCCCGUUUGUUUUUUAAGGAAGUUGAUUUGCAACAGCAUUUUCUGAACUAGAGAGUUCAGGAAAUGGGACAGUGAGGCAGCAUGCCCAGUCAUUCUCAGCUAACUCCCUUGCUGAGAAGAGUAAGAUACUAAGUUCCCGUAAAAUAAAUCUGAAUGACCCUCUGCCCAUCUUCUUCCCCAUUUUAGAUACUAAGAAGAUAUUAGAACUGGUCAGGGUAAAACAACAGAGUCUUUCCGUGCUGGAUUAAGUUUCCUGCGGCAGAAGUAACAAAUGAUCGCAAGCUGGGUGGUUUAAAACAACAGAAAUUGUCCAAGGAAUGUAGCCCAGUAGGUUUCAGCCUUACUUUACCCAGCCCCUCUUCAAGAUGGAGUCGCUCUGGUUCAAACACCUCUGAGAACGGCAUCAGCAGAUUGAGUGUCUGGUGAGGGCCUGUCCUCAUAGGUGGCACCUUCUCUGUGUCCUCACAUGGUGGAAGAGAUGGGCAGCUCCUCUUUUAUGAGGUCAUUAAUCCCAUUCACCACCUCCUAAAGAUUUCUACAUACGAAUUUUGGAGAGGCACAAACAUCCAGACUGUAGCAUCUGGAUAUCCUGUACAGAACAUAACUGUUUUCUUUCACUUUGCAUAUUUGUUUUAUUUUUGUUUUUCGCUUGCAUAUGU